rnacentral:rRNA from 1 species
UACGGAGGGUGCAAGCGUUAUCCGGAUUCACUGGGUUUAAAGGGUGCGUAGGCGGGCAGGUAAGUCAGUGGUGAAAUCUCCGGGCUUAACCUGGGAAUUGCGUUGGAUACUAUCCGGCUCGAGGAAUGGAGGGGAGACUGGAAUACUUGGUGUAGCAGUGAAAUGCGUAGAUAUCAAGUGGAACACCAGUGGCGAAGGCGAGUCUCUGGACAUUUCCUGACGCUGAGGCACGAAAGCCAGGGGAGCAAACGGG